rnacentral:rRNA from 1 species
UACGUAGGGGGCAAGCGUUGUCCGGAUUUAUUGGGCGUAAAGAGCUCGUAGGUGGUUCGGUAAGUCGGAUGUGAAAUCUCCAGGCUCAACCUGGAGGGGUCAUUCGAUACUGCCGUGACUAGAGUUCGGUAGGGGAGUGUGGAAUUCCUGGUGGAGCGGUGAAAUGCGCAGAUAUCAGGAGGAACACCCGUAGCGAAGGCGGCUCACUGGCCCGGUACUGACGCUGAGGUGCGAAAGCGUGGGGAGCAAACAGG